rnacentral:rRNA from 1 species
AACGAACGCUGGCGGCAUGCCUAACACAUGCAAGUCGAACGAGACCUUCGGGUCUAGUGGCGCACGGGUGCGUAACGCGUGGGAACCUGCCCUUAGGUUCGGAAUAACUCCCCGAAAGGGGUGCUAAUACCGGAUAAUGUCUUCGGACCAAAGAUUUAUCGCCUUUGGAUGGGCCCGCGUUGGAUUAGCUAGUUGGUAGGGUAAAAGCCUACCAAGGCGACGAUCCAUAGCUGGGCUGAGAGGAUGAUCAGCCACACUGGGACUGAGACACGGCCCAGACUCCUACGGGAGGCAGCAGUGGGGAAUAUUGGAAAAUCGGCGAAAGCCUGAUCCAGCAAUGCCGCGUGAGUGAUGAAGGCCUUAGGGUUGUAAAGCUCUUUUACCCGGGAUGAUAAUGACAGUACCGGGAGAAUAAGCUCCGGCUAACUCCGUG